rnacentral:rRNA from 1 species
AUGUUGGAUUGUCAUUUCCUUGCAGAGAUCUUUCCAAUAGCAGUUUGCCACCUGCAAAACACCGAGAAUCGACGAUUCACUUACAAGGAGCUAGAGAAGUUUACAAAUAAGUUUGAACGAUUCAUUGGACAAGGAGGUUUUGGGCCAGUGCACUAUGGUUGUUUAGAAGACAAUACUGAGGUUGCUGUCAAGAUGCGUUCUGAGGCCUCGUCGCAUGGACUCGAUGAGUUCUUAGCUGAGGUCCAGAGCUUGACAAAGGUGCAUCACAGGAAUCUAGUAUCUUUGGUUGGUUACUGCUGGGAAAAAGAUCAUUUACCAUUGAUUUAUGAGUACAUGUCUCAAGGCAAUCUCUGUGAUCAUCUGAGAGGCCGAAAUGUUGCUUCUGAAACCUUGAAUUGGGGAACGCGGGUGCGAGUUGUGCUUCAAGCUGCACAAGGCCUAGAUUAUCUGCACAAGGGUUGUAGCCUGCCAAUAAUUCACCGAGAUGUGAAGACCAGCAACAUCCUCUUGGGUCAAAAUCUGCAAGCGAAAUUAUCUGAUUUCGGACUCUGCAAAACCUAUAUGAGUGACACGCAGACUCACGUAUCAACCGUUGCAGCUGGGACAGCAGGUUACAACGACCCUGAGUACUACCUCACUGGCAGGCUCACUGAGAGCAGCGACGUUUACAGUUUCGGGAUUGUUCUACUCGAGAUAACCACCGGCGAGCGUCCGACACUGCCCAAACAUGGUCACAUUGUUCAGCGUGUGAGACAGAAGAUUGCCUCUGGUAACAUCAGCUCAGUUGCCGAUUGCCAGCUCAAUGAUGACUACGAUGUGAGCUCCAUGUGGAAAGUGGUUGACACCGCCAUGGCGUGCACAUCGGACAUUGCCAUCCAAAGGCCAACAAUGGCCAUCGUGGUGGCGCAGCUGAGGGAGAGCCUAGCACUGGAGGAUGCUCGAGAGGGCAGUGGCGUCGAUAGCAGUUCCACGAAUGGUGCCGCUGCGCUGUCCGCAUUUGGUCCAUCAGCAAGAUGA